rnacentral:rRNA from 1 species
CGGGCACAGCGGGAAGCCAGGUGGUGACACCGAGCAGAACCGAAAGCCGUUCUCAGUUCGGAUCGGAGUCUGCAACCCGACUCCGUGAAGCUGGAUUCGCUAGUAAUCGCGCAUCAGCCAUGGCGCGGUGAAUACGUUCCCGGGCCUUGUACACACCGCCCGUCAAGCCAUGGAAGCCGGGGGCGCUUGAAGUGCGUUGCCGCAAGGCGCGCCCUAGAGCGAAACCGGUGACUGGGGCUAAGUCGUAACAAGGUAUC